UACAGAAGGUGCAAGCGUUAAUCGGAAUUACUGGGCGUAAAGCGUGCGCAGACGGUCUCGUAAGUCGGGUGUGAAAUCCCCGGGCUCAACCUGGGAAUUGCAUUCGAAACUGCGAGGCUAGGGUACGGAAGAGGGAAGCGGAAUUUCUGGUGUAGCGGUGAAAUGCGUAGAUAUCAGAAGGAACAUCAGUGGCGAAAGCGGCUUCCUGGUCCAGUACCGACGUUCAGGCACGAAAGCGUGGGGAGCAAACAGG
rnacentral:rRNA from 1 species